rnacentral:rRNA from 1 species
UACGGAGGAUCCGAGCGUUAUCCGGAUUUAUUGGGUUUAAAGGGUGCGCAGGCGGGGGAUUAAGUCGGCGGUGAAAUUUUGCAGCCCAACUGUAAAAGUGCCUUCGAAACUGGUUUCCUUGAGUGUAGAUGUAGUAGGCGGAAUUUGUGGUGUAGCGGUGAAAUGCAUAGAUAUCACGAGGAACUCCGAUUGCGCAGGCAGCUUACUAGGCCAUAACUGACGCUCAGGCACGAAGGCGUGGGGAUCAAACAGGAUUAGAUACCCCGGUAGUCCCUGA